ACUGUGCGCUUAGUCACAUGGUCUGAACUUUUGGGUAGACCUGUGCGGUGUCAAGAGUUGGACUUGAUGAUCCUUAAGGGUCCCUUCCAACUCAGGAUAUUCUAUGAUUCUAUGCUCAAAACCCUGGGGCUGGCUCAAUGUGUGGGAAGACGUCGCCAUCUCGCGGUGGAGAUGGUCAUGCGCUGAGCACAGCUGAUUUGUGGAGAAAGAAAAACAGUAGAUUCUGAAGCUUUUGCAAAGGGUCUUAAGCCAGGAGCACACUGGAACUGCAGUUUUCUGCUGUGACUAACCUGCUCCUGAAAAAAUAAAAACCAACACGUGGAGUAGCCAGGACAUGCUUGGAUGUGCUUUAUGCUCCGUUUGUCUCCUUUGCUUUUGGCAGGGCUGUGAAGGAGCUGGAGGCUCAGCUGGAAUUCGAGCGAGUCAGGCGGGAGAAGCUGGAGAGCCAGCUGGAUGACUACCGUGCUGAGAUAAGCCACCUGAGAGAGAGACUGGAGAAAACCUGCAAGCCACCUGCAGCCCUGAAAACUGAAACUAUCUCCAAUCCUCACAAAAAAGAGAAAAAAGAAAAAAAAAAAAAGAGUAAAAGAAAGUAAAGAAGAAACCAGCCUGCAACUCUGGCAGAGUGUUUGUGAGACCGCGCUGAGGACUGAACAUCAGACAAGCGGCUGGAAGACCUGAGGAGGUAGUGGCAAUAUUUUACACCGUGCAAAGUGUUUGCGAAGCCCAGUUCCACAGAUGUGCUGUGGUUCACUGAAUUUCAUUGAACUACUCUCCUAGUUUUCUGGCAUAGAAUAUACUGUUAGUUCACUGCAACAGCAUAAAAAACAAACCAAAACAACAAAAAUAAAAAAUAAUAAAAAAAAAAAUAAUAAAAAAACCCCACACUGUCAGACUUCUGUUCCUGUCCAGGUAGUAGUUAAGAGUUUUUCAAACUGUAGCAUUUGAGUGAAAACUGCAACCAUGUCAUGGGACCUAGGGUUCGAGGAAAGUAUCCUCAUCUACUAGUCUUUGUACUACUGCCUUAAAGAAAUAAAAUAAAGCAUCUUACCUCAGUCAGAACCAGCAAGAUGGUCCUGAAGCAGUGUCUGGGGCAAGUACUUGCUGAACUGCGGGGACAGGUGCCAGGCCCCUCACUUUCCACCUUCAAGCCAUUCCUAAAUAAGCCCUGAAGCUAUUCCUUUGUGAGGUGCCAGAUAAACUGCAGCGGUAGGCCCCCGACUCUAAAUCAAGGCUGAGGAUGUCACUAGGUUACAGGGCAUGUUGUGGUUAGAAAUAGCAAUCCUGACAUCCCUGCCUAAAAAAACAUUUAAUGGCUUUACAUAUAAUACAGAUUUUUUUCUCUUAUCUGCAUGCUAUUGUGAAGUUAUUUUCCUCUGGAGCUCCCACCAUGCAUUAACAUUUUGGCUGUCUCUGUUCCAAUAAAUCUUUGUAUGAUAGACGGUAA